UACGGAGGGAGCUAGCGUUGUUCGGAAUUACUGGGCGUAAAGCGCGCGUAGGCGGCUUUGUAAGUUAGAGGUGAAAGCCCGGAGCUCAACUCCGGAACUGCCUUUAAGACUGCAUCGCUUGAAUCCAGGAGAGGUGAGUGGAAUUCCGAGUGUAGAGGCGAAAUUCGUAGAUAUUCGGAAGAACACCAGUGGCGAAGGCGGCUCACUGGACUGGUAUUGACGCUGAGGUGCGAAAGCGUGGGGAGCAAACAGG
rnacentral:rRNA from 1 species